rnacentral:lncRNA from 1 species
GUGAACGGGAAGGCGAAGGGGAAGUACAGGGCGCUGUUCAACUUCGGGGACUCGCUGGCCGACGCCGGCAACCUCCUCGCCAACGGCGUCGACUUCCGCCUCGCUACCGCCCAGCUCCCCUACGGCCAGACCUUCCCCGGCCACCCCACCGGCCGCUGCUCCGACGGCCGCCUCGUCGUCGACCACCUCGGUGCGCCCCUUGGUUUCUCCGCUAGAUUGGAUUUCGAUGUCUGCCUGCUUUGUGUUGCUGAUGGUUUGGUUUUUUGGUUUGGAUCGCAGCCGACGAGUUCGGCCUGCCGCUGCUGCCGCCGUCCAAGCUCAAGAACUCCAGCUUCGCUCACGGCGCCAACUUCGCCAUCACCGGCGCCACCGCGCUCGACACCCCCUACUUCGAGGCCAAGGGGCUCGGCGCCGUCGUCUGGAACUCCGGCGCCCUCCUCACCCAAAUCCAGUGGUUCCGCGAUCUCAAG